GUCUAGGGCCAUACUACCCUGAAUGUGCCUGAUCUCGUCUGCUCUCCAAAGCUAAGCAGGGUUGGGCCUGGUUAGUACUUGGAUGGCAGAUACCUGGGUGUGCCAAUCUGCUGGACA
rnacentral:rRNA from 1 species